CUUAAUUUUAACAAAAUAUUUUAUUUAACCCAAUAUAUCCAAAAUGUUGUCAUAAACAAACAAUAUCAAAAUUAUUAAUGAGAUACUUUACAUGAUUUUUCAUAAGUCUGAAAUUCAAGGUUGAUUUUAUACUCACAGCACAUCUCAAUUCUGACUAGCCACAUUUCAAGGACUCAACAGCUCCUAAAGGCUAGUGGCUAGCUUGCUGGAUAGCACAGGGCUACAGCAUAGUGGGCAAAGGGGAUAGGGACACUCAAUGGGGUGGAGAGGCAGUGGGGGACCAGGUCACAUCCAGCCUCAGACAGCAGGGUUAAUGAAGCUGGAUUUCAUUUUAAUUGGAAUGAGAAUAGAUGCAUUUUUUUUUUUUUUAACAGGCAAUCAUACAUAAGUUUUCAAAAGAUCACACAGUGGUAAAUGAAUUAUUGGGAAGCGCCAACAGAAGCAGAGAGACCAGCUAGGAGGCUGCAGGUGAAAGACAAUAGUGGCCUGGAUUCUGGUGGUAGUAAGGGAGGGGAAAAUAAAUGGAUGGAUAUGGAUAUGUUUUGAAAGUACAGCUAACAGGACUUGCUGGUGGACUGGAUAGUGGGAGAAGGGAAAAAAAGCAGCAAGGAUAAUGACUUCUGAAAAAAUUAUUUAAAUGAGAUAUUUGUUGUUGUGGGUAUAACAGAAAGCCUUCACCCAGGGCAAUACGAACUAUGUCACACCACGGACAAGGUAACCACAUUAAUAGAUAUUUACAACAAUUCCAACUAAUAAAUAUAUUUAUCAUUUACUUAAUGAUAAAACUCUCUCCAUAAAAUUUGGCUUACUUGCUCAGUGUAAAAUGACAAUAACAUCUACAGUAAGAUAUUUUGAAAUUUAAACUUUAACAGGCAGAAUUAAAGAAAAUAGCUUCAAGCUUAAAAUGGCAGGGAAGGUGGUCAUAUUUAUUUACUUUAAACCAAAGAAUCUUAGAGCGGUGAAAGAAACUUUAUAAACUAACCAUCUAAUCCAAUCCUAUUUUAUAUACACGGAAAUAGAAACUUAGAGAUGUAAUUAGUCCAAGGUUACAUGGGAAAUCGGG